rnacentral:rRNA from 1 species
UACAGAGGUCUCAAGCGUUGUUCGGAUUCAUUGGGCGUAAAGGGUGCGUAGGUGGCGCCGUAAGUCAGGUGUGAAAUUUCGGAGCUUAACUCCGAAACUGCAUUUGAUACUGCGGUGCUUGAGGACUGGAGAGGAGACUGGAAUUUACGGUGUAGCAGUGAAAUGCGUAGAUAUCGUAAGGAAGGCCAGUGGCGAAGGCGAGUCUCUGGACAGUUACUGACGCUGAGGCACGAAGGCCAGGGGAGCAAACGGG